GCAGUAGCCGCGGUAAGACAGAGGAUGCAGGCAUUAUCCGGAAUGAUUGGGCGUAAAGCGUCUGUAGGUGGCUUUUCAAGUCCGCUGUCAAAUCCCAGGGCUCAACCCUGGACAGGCGGUGGAAACUACCAAGCUGGAGUACGGUAGUGGCAGAGGGAAUUUCCGGUGGAGCGAUGAAAUGCGUUGAGAUCGGAAAGAACACCAACAGCGAAAGCACUCUGUUGGGCCGACACUGACACUGAGAGACGAAAGUUAGGGGAGCAAAUGGGAUUAGAUACCCCCGUAGUCCCUGUCUUUAUACA
rnacentral:rRNA from 1 species